AGCCGACGUUCCCCACUCCUCCCGCCGCCAUGUUCUGAUCGGGCAUAUUAUGUCUGUGGCGAGGAAUAAUAACAAACCAUAAUGCUCAUUUUUCGAUGAAAAAAAAAAUCAGCUUUGGUUAUCUGCUGUUUUGUGAUUCCGGAGGGAGAAUCUCCAGUGUGUUUAUUUAAAAAUUUUGUUUCUAUCUGGAAGUGGUGGAGAGUGGAAGCUGGCGACUGUUCUGGCACUCAGAUUAAUGAGAUCAGAUUACCAGUCGUCUUUCUCUGUGUGAUGCUGAUAUAGGGAUGACUUGAACAAUGGCUGCAAUUGGUUUGUGAACCCAAGUCACUAUUCCAUGAACAGAUGAUGACAGAAAAAGUAAAUUGAGAUUUGAUCUCCAGUGAGACAGAAGUGAUACUGAAGAAUAAUACAUCACAUCGAACUGUAGAAUUGACAUGGAUGAAGAAGGACAACAUAGUUUGGAGUGUAUCCAAGCCAAUCAGAUCUUUCCUAGAAAACAGCUAAUUAGAGAAGAAGAAAACCUCCAGGUUCCUUUUCCUGAGCUUCAUGGGGAAAGUACAGAAUACAUAGGACGUGCUGAGGAUGCAGUUAUUGCUUUGUCUAACUACAGAUUGCACAUCAAAUUUAAGGAAACAGUUGUUAACGUGCCUUUGCAGCUGAUUGAAAGUAUUGAAUGCCGUGAGAUGUUCCAGCUUCAUUUAACUUGUAAAGACUGCAAAAUUAUCAGGUGUCAGUUUUCUACUUUUGAACAAUGUCAAGAAUGGGUAAAACGUAUGAACAAUGUGAUACGACCACCUGCAAGGAUAGAAGACCUUUUUGCCUUUGCUUAUCAUGCUUGGUGUAUGGAUGUAUAUGCUAGUGAGAAAGAGCAACAUGGAAACUUGUGCCGACCAGGUGAGCAUGUUGUUUCACGAUUUAAAAAUGAGGUCGAACGAAUGUGCUUUGAUAUGCAAAAUGCAUGGAGAAUUACCAAUAUCAAUGACAAAUACAAAUUGUGUGCCAGUUACCCACAACAAUUACUUGUACCAGCUUGGUUAACCGAUAAAGAGCUCGAGAGUGUUGGAAAUUUCAGAUCAUGGAAGAGGAUUCCAAGUGUUGUUUACAGGCACCAAGGCAACGGUGCAGUGAUUGCACGUUGUAGUCAGCCAGAAGUCAGUUGGUGGGGUUGGAGAAAUUCAGAUGAUGAGCACCUGAUAAAGUCUGUUGCAAAAGCUUGUGCCAUGGACAGGAGUUCCACCAAACACAUUAAUGGCAACUGUAUACGAGACUAUCCUAAUGGUAGUGACCUGUCUGAUGGGGAAUUUGAUUCUUCAAUGACUAAUUCGGCGGGAGUAGAAAAUUUAUGCAGUCCACCACACAAACUUUUGAUUUUGGAUGCUAGGUCAUAUGCAGCAGCUGUGGCUAACAGAGCAAAGGGCGGUGGGUGUGAAUGUCCUGAAUAUUACCCUAACUGUGAAGUAGUAUUUAUGGGUAUGGCAAACAUUCACUCCAUUCGAAAGAGUUUUCAGUCAUUGAGAUUUCUUUGUACACAGAUGCCAGAUCCUGCCAACAGUUGGUUAUCAGCAUUAGAAAGUACGAAAUGGCUUCAGCAUCUAUCCAUGCUUUUAAAAGCAGCGCUACUCGUAAUUAAUGCAGUUGAUCGUGAUCAGCGGCCUGUUCUAGUGCACUGUUCUGAUGGCUGGGACCGAACACCACAAAUUGUGGCUCUAUCAAAAUUACUCCUGGAUCCUUACUACAGAACAAUAGAGGGUUUUCAGGUACUGGUGGAAACUGAGUGGCUGGAUUUUGGUCAUAAAUUUGCUGAUCGCUGCGGCCAUGGUGAAAACUCAGAUGAUCUCAAUGAACGCUGUCCUGUGUUCCUUCAAUGGCUUGAUUGUGUCCAUCAGUUACAGAGACAGUUUCCUUGUUCUUUUGAGUUUAAUGAAGCAUUCCUUGCUAAAUUGGUGCAGCAUACAUAUUCUUGCCUUUUUGGAACAUUCCUGUGCAACAGUGCAAAGGAGCGUGAAGAGAAACACACUCAGGAAAGAACCUGCUCAGUUUGGUCCCUCCUGAGGCCUGCUAACAAAUCCUUUAAAAAUCUCCUGUACACCUCUCAAUCUGAAACUGUACUACAUCCAGUGUGCCAUGUAAGGAAUUUAAUGCUUUGGAGUGCAGUGUACAUCCCCAAUUCAUCUCCUUCAAUGCCUACUGAUGAUCAUUGUGCACCUUAUCCAGUUCCAAGGUCCAUCCCUGAGGAGCAACCAUUGGGAAGGUUACCAAAGACUAGAUCAUUUGACAACUUGACAACAGUUUGCGAUAAUCCUGGGCCUACAGCAAAUAGACGCUCCAGUGAUCCAAGUCUAAAUGAGAAAUGGCAGGAACAUCGCAAGUCAUUGGAACUUAACAGUGUUGGAAUAGGGGGAUUGAUGGAUGGGAAUGGACUAGAUGAUUCCUUCAACAGUGAAGCACUGGAAUUGGGAAAGCUAGGAAAGAAUCCUUUGGGAGCUGAACUUUCUGUAGCUGCUGGUGUUGGGGAAGGUCAAAUGGAGAAUAUUUUACAAGAAGCCUCUAAAGAAGAUAGUGGGUUGGAGGAACAGUCGAAGGAUGCACCAGUAACAGAAUUAAAACAAGUCGUAAAUGUUUUAAGUAGCGAAAGUGAGCUUGACAGUGGCCUGACUAAUCAAUUGGUAACUUUUGUCACAGAAUCUUCGGAAACAUUAGCAAUGAAUGAAAUGGAAAGUACUGAGCCUAAUUCUGGGCUUGUUACAAAUUCGGAAGAAGGGACCCAGGAUGGGUUCUUAGAGCCCACAACUCAGAUUCCAAUGUUACAAGGUAUAGAUGCUGGUUUCAGAAAGGUUACUACUGAAAAUUCUUCAAGUUAUCCAAAAUCGUUUACUGAAGCCAAGGAUUUGAUUAGUCCAAGCAUUGAACCAGAAAAUCAAUAUACUGCAUCUCAAUCUUGCUUACCCCACUUAAUCACUCCAGACAAACUCGAGGAGAAGAUACCUACUUUGGAGAGUUCUACUGAAACUUUAACAGGAGAUGGAGCAAAUCAGGAAGCACCUCAAAUCCACUCUGGUGCUAAACUUUAUUUGAAUACCAGAGCAAAUAGUACCAUGGUACCUGCUGUAAACACUGAAAAUAGUUUUUCUCAAUUUGUACCUGAAAACCAGGAUAUGAUAUUGAAACCAAGAUUCGCAACUGAUCUGCAUAGGACUUCAGAUAAAAGCGUUCAAAGUUCACAGCCUCCUGCUUGUGCCUUGUCAUUAAGUGAAUGUAAAGAUGGAUUUGUUCCUAAUGGAGAAGUCAAUAGUGAAAAUACAGUUGUGGAAAAAGCAACAGACUUUGGAAGUGGUACUCAAAGAAAUACCACAGCUAAUGGACUCUAUAUAAAUGGAGACGAGUUGAGAGGGAAAAUGGUGUUAAGUAGACAAGUUUCUGCAGCUAGUUGCAGUUCUUUGCAGUUUCCAUCUGGUCAUUUUAGAAACCCCCAUUCCAAGUGGUCACAUUACUGCUCUGGAAAACAGCAGCCAGUAGCAAGCCCAGAUCAACCUACACGAAGCCAUUUGGAUGAUGAUGGGCUGGCCACCCACAAUGAUAUUAUUCAACAACGACUUCGUCAGAUAGAGGCAGGGCAUCAACAAGAGGUAGAAACUUUAAAAAAACAGGUGCAAGAACUGUGGAGCAGGCUGGAGUGCCAGCAUUUUAGCAAUUCAUCCCUACGUUUUAAUGGAGAGUUUAGUGAUGAAGUGACCUCUAUCCCAGAUUCUGAGAGCAAUAUGGAUCAGAAUUGUUUAUCCCGCUGCAGCACAGAAAUAUUCUCUGAGACUAGUUGGGAGCAAGUGGAAAAACAGGACACAGAGGUGACUCGAUGGUACCCUGAUCAUUUGGCUCCACAGUGCUAUGGCUGUGAAAGUCGAUUUUGGUUGGCUAGCAGAAAGCACCACUGCAGUACUUUUUCUCAACUGAAUACAAUUUUCUGACCGUGAUCCUGUAUAUCAAAGGAAUUUAGAAGACCUGAACAAUGCACAACUGCUGGGGAUGUACAAAAUGGCCCACACAGUGUUGAGGUUUUGGAUGCCAAUUCUCUAUCAUCAUUUUUUUUUAAGCAAGUGAUUAAUUAACAGGAAUGUGGUCACAUCUUACUUUUUAGUUUUUCCUUACUCGACUACUACGCUGUCACCCUAGACUGAACCAGUCACUUUCACCAGUCCUCCUCUAGUUGAGCAUUGGAGAUCAUUAUUAUAACUAAUACAUUUCAGUUUUAAAAGCCAGUGCUUUAUGCAAUAACAUGGUCUAUGACCUAGCUAGCAUGACAUAGAAAGAAAACAGGAUAUGAACUUGAAGGCAUUGUGAAUAAGAACCUUUCCCAACAGUGAACCAGCACAUUAUCAGGAAACAUAGUUUCUGAAUGCGAAAUGUUGCAAUGUUGCAUGCUGGUGCAAAGAACAUUAAGCCACAUUAGGGAAUGGAUAGAAAUAACUUAUAAUUCCGUAAACUACAUAGUGUGGAGCUGUAGGAACACAGCAGGCCAAGCAGCAUCAGAGGAGCAGGAAAGCUGACGUUUUGGUUCGGGACCCUUCUUUACAAAUGGGGAGGGGGAGAGAGCUGGGAAAUAAAUGGAGAGGGGCAGGCUGGUGCUGAAAAAGGUAGAUGGGAUGGUGAUAGAUGAGUGUAGAUAGGGAGUAGUGGGGAUUGGUCAGUGGGAUGGGUGGGGCAGAUAGUUGGGAGAGAACGUGGACAGGUUGUGUCAGGUCAAGGAGGUGGGGAUGAGAGGGAGGGUUAGACAUGGGAUGAGGCUGGGGGUGAGGAAACUUUAAUUCUGGUGAAUUCCAUGUUUAGGCCAUCGGGCUGUAGUGUCCUGAGACAGAAUAUGAGGUGUUGCUCCUCCAGUUUGCGGGUGGUGUCAUUGUGACACUGAAGGAAGCCCCUGGAGGGGGAGUUAAAAUGAUUGCCGACCGGAAGAUGUUGUCAGUUGUCAUGUACAGAGCACUGAUGCUCUAAAAUUGGUCUCCGAGUCUACAUUUUGUCUCACCGCUAUAGAGGAGGCCAUGUCGGAAGCAGCAGAUACAGCAGACCAAGUUGACGGAUGUGCAGGUGAACCCUUCUCUGAAAUGGAAGGUUUCUUUUGUGCCUUGAAUGGAGGUGAGGGAGAUGGUGUAGGGUGGUGUCAUUGUGACACUGGAGGAGGCCCCGGGAGGGAGAGUUAAAAAGAUUGCCAACUGGAAGAUGUUGUCAGUUGUAGUGUACAGAGUGUAGAUGCUGUACAGAACAGUCUCCAAGACUGGGAGACUAUUUUGUAGAACAUCUGUGCCCUGUACACGACAACUGACAAUGCCUUCCAGGCAUCAACAAUUUUAAUUCCCUUUCACACUCCCUAGGUGACAUGCCCAUCCCAGGCCUCCUCCAGUGUUACCGUGACACCACCUGCAAACUCCUCAUCCCCCCCUCCCCAUUUCUGAAGAAGGGUCCUAACCCAAAACAUUAACUUUCCUGUUCAUCAGAUGCUGCCAGACCUGCUGUGUUUCUCCAGCUCCACACUGUGUUAUCUCUGACUCCCGCAUCUGCAGCUCUUGCUAACUCUUACAGUUGCAUAGCAUCUUUCAGAAUGCCCAAAGUUCUUCAUAGCUAGAGAAUUACUUUUGCAGUGUGAUCACUUCUAAUGUGGAAAAUGCAACAGCUAACUUACACAAAGAAAAGUCUCAUAAUCAAUAAUGUGAAAAUCUUAGAUAACAAGGUGUAGAGCUGGAUGAACACAGCAGGCUAAGCAGCACCAGAAGAGCAGGAAAGCUGAUGUUUCAGGCCUGAAGGGUCCUGACCUGAAACUUUAACUUGCCUGCUCCUAUGCUGCUUGGCCUGCAGUGUUCAUCCAGCUCUACACCUUGUUAUCUCAGAUUCUCCAGCAUCUGCAGUUCCAACUAUCUAUGAAAGUCUUAGUUCUGAUUGGGUAGGAAGAACUCCUCUGAUUUUCUCUCAAAGGAUAGAUCAUGAAAGGGUAAAUACAAAAGAACAUUUUAAAAUGCAUCUUAAAAGAGGAGGGAGGCAUUGUGGAAGGAAGAGAAUUCCAGAGCUUAGAACUCAGAUAACAAAGCAGGGAAACUUGGUCACAGAAGAUGUUAAAAUUGGAAGACUUUUUGGUUAGUUAUUUGGCUAGAAGAUCAGGGAAUGGAUGAAGCAAUGGGGGGAUUUGAAAGCACGAUGAGAGAGUGUUUUUGUGUUUUCCUCAAUGUGCCAGUGCUAUCUAUUACCAAGUCAGUAUGCUAUGAGGCAGCUGUGCAACCUUAUACACAUUUCUUAUUUUCCCUUCUGUAAAUGUUCAAAAAUUUUUACAUUUCAAAGCAGGAAGGGUGAGAUUUGAACCUUCUUGUGUACUUGCUCAUCUCAUCCUGUUGGUGCACCAGUAGACUGAUUCCCCAUGACUGGGAUGUUUUGAAGAAAUUUCAGAGGUUCUCGCUCUCCGUUUUCCACCAGCCAGCGUUUAAUCUUUUUGAAGUUGAAGCUAUUCAGGUUGGAAAUGAAGAAGCAUACAAUGAAUUGCAUUGACAUUGUAGAUGUAAAUUACAGUGCAGAUUUCAGCAGAGAGCUAUGUUCUCCACAGCAAUAGCAAUACACCCCAUCCAGCCCAGGUGCAAUGAUGUAAGUUGGAUGUCUUCACAUUACAGAACCUAUUGCAUCUGAAUAUCUUGUGUACUAUUUAUGAAUAAAACAUAUUGACACAUUGUCUUUAACCAUUAGUUUGCCAGCACUUCAAUGAAUUCUAGUCUUGUAAAAAUGUAGUUUUAAACUGAAGCCAUUCAGUCAAAAUUCUUGACGCAAGUCCAUUAAUAAAAAUACCAUGCAUCACUUUACUGUGUAUGUGUUUCCAAAUGCUGAGAAAAAUCUCUGAUUUCAUUUCAAAUGUUUACAUUCUUCCUUUCCCUCUUUUUAACUUGUAGCUAUUUGUAUAUGUAGUUUUGUUCAGCAAUAUUUUUUAAACACUUAUUUCUAUGACUCCAAGGUCUCGUCCGUUUUGAAAGUAAGAAUAUCUUUGGAAAAAAUGGCCCGUCUUCUAAAACAGGCUUAAAAACAUAUUUCGGGCAACUUAAGUGCCAGCUUUAAGGAUAAUAUAACCAAGUCACCAACUCAAACAGUUCGUUCUUUUGAUUUGACAAAGACCGGUCUAGAAGUUAAUUCAUCUACAAAGCUGCCUGUGAAAUGAGAGGUCAUCUGUGACGAAGUAAUGGUCACCACUGUUUACACCUGAAGAUACAAUAUUUUAGGGUGCGUUCACUCACCCUGUCUGAAAAAAUAAUUUUGUUUUGGAAUUUUACUUAAAUCUUGGAGAAUUUCAAAUAUUGCAAUCGGUUUAUUUUAAUAGCAUUUCUUGUGUAUUAAUCAAACAUUGUUCAAGCACAAUACCGAACUGGACAUGCAAACAAAGUUCCAUUUUUAAAAUUGACUACCUUGUUCACACUUUCAUCUGUGUUCUCUUUCUUUGCAACAUAUUAUAUGAGCCAGAAUUUCCUCCAAUUAAAUCUCAAAAAUCCAGAACAUUUAAAUUGAGCCCAUGCCAGAGCACCUGUAGUUUGCUAUUGUAUCGAUUUUCUUUUCCUGCCUACUCGGGCUGCACUAAAUUUCCAUGAGUUCAGUGUCUUGCAUGAUGCAGGGCUCAGUUUCGAACCCCAUAUCUUCUUCAGCACUAAGACUACUUGCUUCUAUUUCUGCAACAUUUACAAUAACAUCCUCUUCCUCAGUCAGAUCUCAACCAAAAUAUUUGUUCCUGCUUUUAUCAUUGUCAUUGCACACCACCUCUGUGACACCUUCUUAUCCUCUAAAGCUUCACUAUCCAUCCAAAUUAUCCAAAACUCCAACUGCCAAAUCUUGGAUCAUAUUUCCAGUUCGCUUCCACUUUUCUCAAUGUAUAGUGGCUCCAGUUCGUAAUUUACCAUCAACUUGAUCCCCUUCCUCCAAAAGCAGAACUAAUGGGAAGCUCCUUCCAUAGUUCUAUUCAUCUUAUCUCUGAAUUCUGUUGCCUGUAUGGUCUAUUGUCACCUUUGUUAACCUAAUUCUGACUUCCUGUAAUUUAUUUCCCCUACCUUGUUAGAUUAACUUCCAUCUGACUCAAGCCUAUUCUGUCAAACUCCCCUGCAUUUCCUUUUGCCCUGCCCAUAAACCCCUUUUCAAAGCCUAGACUUUAGCCAUGUCUUUGCCACUCCAUCCCUACACCUCUGCACAAUGUCCAAGUGUUUCUCUGUAAAGAAUCUUGACGUCAUUUUAAAUAAGUGUUUACAAGUUAACAAGUGUUAAACAAGUAAUGUUAAAUGAAAGGAAUUUUUUAAGUAUUGCUUCUGUUUUGAGAAUUAGUACUCAAUAGACUUCGCUUCCUUUAUUAAGAUUAAUACCAUUGAUAAAAUAACUUGCAUAUUUCUAAAAUGCUUCUAUCAUUGUAAAGUAGCAGCGUAUUGUUUUUCAUUUGUUUGUAUCCCCUCGCUGUUACCCUGCUGAUUUGCACCUUUUCCUUAGUUUCCCUCUGAGCUGUUUUUUCCAUCUUGCAGGGACAGGGAGCCUGUUGAUGACACAUGGAAUUGUGGGAAUGUGUUUUGCUCAAGUUGUUGCAACCAGAAGAUCCCAGUACCGAGUCAGCAGCUUUUUGAGCCUAGUCGUGUCUGUAAAUCCUGCUA